rnacentral:rRNA from 1 species
AGCGGUAAGGCCCUUUCGGGGGUACACGAGCGGCGAACGGGUGAGUAACACGUGGGUGACCUGCCCUCCACUCUGGGAUAAGCCCGGGAAACUGGGUCUAAUACCGGAUAGGACCACUGAUCGCAUGGUUGGUGGUGGAAAGUUUUUUCGGUGGGGGAUGGGCCCGCGGCCUAUCAGCUUGUUGGUGGGGUGAUGGCCUACCAAGGCGGUGACGGGUAGCCGGCCUGAGAGGGCGACCGGCCACACUGGGACUGAGACACGGCCCAGACUCCUACGGGAGGCAGCAGUGGGGAAUAUUGCGCAAUGGGCGGAAGCCUGACGCAGCGACGCCGCGUGGGGGAUGACGGCCUUCGGGUUGUAAACCUCUUUCGCCAGGGACGAAGAGCGAUUGACGGUACCUGGAGAAGAAGCACCGGCCAACUACGUGCCAGCAGGC